CCCCCGCCCAUGCGGGUGCCUGUUCGCCGAGCCCGAGGGGCACGAAGGGGGCGGAACUUCAGAAGCGAGCAGAGCACGGAUUGGGUACAGAAGAAAACGUACGGGGUCUCUAGGGCUGUUUGGUGGGAACCAAUCACGAGUCAAGAGGCAGUCCCAGGGCUGUGUUUGCGCAGGCGUUCUGGGGUAUUCCCAGUUGCAAUGCGCGCGAAGGGGUGAAGCGUUGUAAGGAAGCGCUUUGUCCUUCUGUGCCUCGUGAGGAGGGUGGGAGGAUCCAAGACGGGGUCUGGGGCGGGUGGUGGGCGAGCCGUGAGGGCGGUACACGAAGGCACAGGUGCUGUGGGCGUUGUGGUGGGGGCGCCGGGUGGUCCUGGUGAACCCCGUGACCCUGGUGACCCCAGCGACCCCGAAGGCCUGGGCAAUCCCGGAAGUCCCGGCCCUGAGGGAGAGGCGGGCGCCGCUUCUGCCGGCGUGCCCCCGAUGGAGCAGGCCCCCCGCGCGCCAGGGCCUGAUGGAGCUGCGGCACCGGCGGCUGGAGGUCCUGGGGGCCAACCGCUCCAGAUCGCCCUCACCGUACCUUUCCCGUCGCCCGUGGAGGCGGAGAUUGCCCACUGGUUCCUGACUUCACAUGCUGAACUCCGAGGGCCAGUUCGGCAGGAGCUCGAUGUGAACGUCACCGUCCUGACUGUCCGAUUGACUGCUGAGGACCCUGGCCAACUCCAAAUGUCCAUCACCUCCUGUCUUGACCAGGUUUCCCGGGUGAUUCGGACCAUGCAGCGCGUUGUGCCUCCCUUUUUUUGCUAAGCCGCAGCAGGAUAAAGGGGGCUAAACCCAACUGCCUGUCCCGUUCUAGGCACCUCGCUAGGGCACUGAUGCCUGCAGUGGUUGCCACUUCAUGACUAGGGCCUAAUCUCUUGCCUGUACUGGCCCGUGGGUGCUUGGGAUUCAUGUGUUUUGUUUGGUAGUUAAAUGUUUAAUAAAUACAGAAAAUAAAAACAGCUGCUAUUCUGUGUCUGAGUUUAAUUUUAGCUUCUCCACCUCCUAAUACUCUUGCCUCUGUUCUCACGUUGGAGGGGAGGUUCUGGGAUUCAGAUAUUCAAGUAGUACAAGGCGACUGAAG
ensembl:lncRNA